CGUGUAGGCGGCUAGGUAGGUCCGUUGUGAAAACUCGAGGCUCAACCUCGAGACGCCGAUGGAAACCAUCUAGCUAGAGUCCGGAAGAGGAGAGUGGAAUUCCUGGUGUAGCGGUGAAAUGCGCAGAUAUCAGGAAGAACACCCGUGGCUAAGGCGGCUCUCUAGUACGGUACUGACGCUGAGACGCGAAAGCGUGGGGAGCAAACA
rnacentral:rRNA from 1 species